ensembl:lncRNA
UUUUAAUCUUCUUUACCCUUUUCACAGAUUCACCAUACCUGGGCAACAGAGAAAAAGACAGAGCGAGAGCAGCUGUUGCCAGGCAACCGCGGCUGGCAAACGAGGUGUGGAGAAGUGAAGGAAGGAACAGAGGCGCAGUAUUUUGGGGGAGGAGACGAAGGACUGGGAAGGAGAAGGAGAGAGAAAUGGGAGGAACGAACUUGGUGUCUCAGGCUCUGCUCUCUCCCUUCUCUCGUCCUACCUCGACGGCCGCACCUACCGAGUAACCUGGCGAGGAUCUGUGUCGGAACCUUGUCCUCUUACUACUGGAGUUCCUCAGGGUUCCGUCCUGGGUCCCCUCCUCUUCUCACUCAGAAGGCAGCGCAGGUACUUAUUCAGGCUCGUGUCAUCUCCCUCCUGGACUACUGUAACUCUCUCCUGCAGGUCUCCUGCUACCACCAUUCCACCUCUGCAGCUCAUCCAGAAUGCAGCAGCUCCACUGGUCUUUAACCUUCCUAAGUUCUCCCUCACUCCUCCACUCCUCCGCUCUCUUCACUGGUACCGGUGGCUUAUCCAGUUCUAAACAUGGUGCUCACGUACCGUGCUGUGAAUGGAUGGGGUCCAGCUUCCAUCCAGGACCUGGUCCAACCCGACAUCCCGACCCGCACUCUCCGCUCUGCAUGUGAUAAACUGCUUGUUCCUCCUCACUGAUAGCAAAACACUCGACUAGAUCUCCACUCUUUGCUGUCCUGCUCCUAAAUGGUGGAAGGAGGUCUCUGAAGACAUCAGGACCACAGAGAGCCUUCACAUCUUCAGACUAAAGACACACCUCUUCAGACUCUACCUCCACUAAAACACUAACUGUAGCACUUACAUUGUAAUUAUAAUCUCUCUACAGCAAGUUAUAAAUCGGCUUAUUUAAUGAAAUUGCACUUUCUUGUUUCUUGUUCUUUUGUGUCUGUAUCCUUAUGGUUGAAAUGCACUUAUUGUAAGUAAAGAUCUUAAUUAAAG